CUGAAAAAACUUAUCCCCUUCUCUUUUCCUCUUGCAUUGUCUCGAUUAGUACACAUGUACACACUGCAACUACGCACCAUUCGUGAAUUAAACGUGUUACAUAGGCUGAAAGAAGCGUUUUCGUUAAAAUGAAACUUUGCCGUGCGGAAUUGUUUAUGCGGGUGUAGGGUGAGCAGGUCCGCAGUUACCGUGAAGGACCUUAUU